GAUGAACGCUAGCUACAGGCUUAACACAUGCAAGUCGAGGGGAAACGGCAUUGAGUGCUUGCACUCUUUGGACGUCGACCGGCGCACGGGUGAGUAACGCGUAUCCAACCUUCCCAUUACUGUGGGAUAACCUGCCGAAAGGCAGACUAAUACCGCAUAGUCUUCGAUGACGGCAUCAGAUUUGAAGUAAAGAUUUAUCGGUAAUGGAUGGGGAUGCGUCUGAUUAGCUUGUUGGCGGGGUAACGGCCCACCAAGGCUACGAUCAGUAGGGGUUCUGAGAGGACGGCCCCCCACAUUGGAACGGACACACGUACCAACCUCCUGCGGGAGGCGGCAGGGAGAAUUAUGGGUAAAGGGCCGAAAGUCUGAACCAGCCAGGGGGCGGGAAGGAGGACGCCCUUAUGGUUUUUAACCUUUUUUUGUAUGGGAAUAAAGUUGGGGACGUCCCCUUUUUGGCAGUUCCCAAACAAAAAGGGCCGGGCUAUUCCCGCC
rnacentral:rRNA from 1 species